UUUUCUAUGAUUCUAUGCAGCUUGUUUUAAUUUUGCACAUCAAAUGCACAAGCAGUUUAUUAAAACACUUUUGUAAAGGUGAGGUAGUAAAAAAUCACAACGUGCUGAUGCAUAAGGAUGCACAGGUGUACAUGCACAGGUGUUUCAUAAAAGAACAAAACACUCCAUUGAAGAACAUUAAGAUCGCAAAGUCAAGCAUGUAAAAGUUAGGAAUUACCAGAACGAAGUUGCCUGUGUAACAUUAAUGUGCACCCCCUUGUGUAUGCAUUAAAUUGCAGCCUUCAAUCAGACAAUUUUUCCCCAUAGGACCUCUGCCUCAUUCAACAGGCAACAUGAGGCUGCCUUAGGCCUGAACCUGUGUUGUGUACUGAAGGACCCACUUCCAUUUGUAGCAGGAAUGAGGCAGAGGAUUGUAAGAAGAAAAACGACUCUCUCUUACGGUUAAAGCAGCUGAAUGCUGCCCUGGAGAACUGAAUUGUACCUUUGUGUCUACCAGAGAGUUCCCUCCAAUUCUAGGUAUGUCAUGUAAACCACAUUUUUCACAGGCAGUCACUAACUGGAUGCCCCUCAUUUUUGUGAUGUCAGGCAUCAGACCCUGAGAACUGAUUUGCAGAAGUGCUAAGAGUUCAGCUGCAACUGAAGUCAGCAAGAGCUAUAUUCUGAACACACAAAGUGCUGUCACAUGCUAAAGCAGUGGUUGGCAGGGUAUGGCCCACAGGCUGGAUCCAUCCUACAGACACUGUAUUCAGCCUGCUAAGUACAUUGAGUUUAUAUAUCCCACUGUUGGUAAAGCAGCAAGCAGUACAGUGGGCAGCAGGUACUCAGGAUCAGGCAUGUAAUGCCCAAAAGUCAGGUGUGUCGGGGGGGGAGGGGGGAGAAGAGGGGCAGCUGAGCAUUAGAGACUUCAGUGGAGUGUGAGGCAUGAAAAGAAAAGCUUGAUAAAAGACUCGGCAGGACAACCUGUUCCAACCUGAUGUCUGAGUGAAAAGUUUUUCUAAGUCCCACCUAAGCGUCAGGUUAACUGCUGGCCCACCUUAAAACCAAGCUGUGUUAAUUCAGCAUGGUGCAAGUGAAAGGUUGCUGACCUCUGUGCUGAAGUAUCUUGAAAAAAAUCCGGCCUUAGGUGUCUCAAAUUGGGCAGCAAAAACAAGUCCUUUAUACCUUAAUCUCUCUGGGUACAGUUUAGCAUCUGUAAAAAGGGUAAAAUACAUACUAAUUUUCCCGGGGUCUUGUGAAUAUCUUUAGAACAAAUCAAUAAAUUGUCCCAACGGUCUUUAGAACAAAUUGAUCAAUUAAACACUGGCAGGUCACUGGGACCAGCUGGCAUUUCCCUGAGGGUGCUGAAGAAACUCAGAUGUGAAAUUGCAGAGCUGUUAAACAAUGGUACAUAACCAAUCAUUGCAAACAGCCUCCGUGCCAGAAGACUGGCAGGUUACCAAUGUUACACCCAUCUUCAAAAAGGGCUUCAGAGGUGAUUCUGGGAAAUAGACCAGUGAGUCUCACUUCCAUUCCUGGCAAAUUGGUAGACUCUAUAACACAGAAUAAAAUGAGCAGUCACAUGGAUAAAUAUGAUAUGCUGUACAAGAGUCAGCUUGGCAUUUAUAAAAGGAAAUCCUGCCUCACCAAUCUGUUGGAGUUCUUUGAAGGCGUUGAAAAAUAUGUGGACAAGAGAGAUCCAGUUGAUAUAAUAUACAUAGGUGAAGGGAAAAAAAUUAUUUUGAGGGGGCUGAGCAUGCAUGUGCUUCACCCCCCUUCCCAGCAGUGAAUAUAGUGACGUGGGAAAUGAGGUAACCAAACCUGUGAUCACCAUUGAAAUGAGGCCCCUUGCUCAGGAAAACCACUCAAGAAACUAACCAGGCAUGUUGUCAGUGUAAUGACAACAAGACUUCUAACACAAAGUUAUACUCUGCUUCACUUGGAUCCCAAUGUCACAUGCCCAAAAUACUUAAUAACAUACUCUGAUGCCUCUAGCAUACAGGACGCUGGGAGUAAACUUUUUCUCUACUUCACAGAUACUUCUACCCUCCAGUCAUUUAUUCUACAAUCAUGGGAAAAGACCAGAAAACCAUUAAUGACUACCUUUAUACAUCAUCAGAUAAAAAGAACUGACUGCCAUUAGCCAAUCAGUUGGGGGUUUUUUUUUGCUAACAAGUUGUGAGUUGCAAAAUUACAUUUAUGUUGUUUUUUCCCCUGGAGGGUAUAAAAGGCUCUCAUACAUUCGGAUAAGCCCACUCAAAUGUUAAUUGAUUGCUAACUUUGUUGAAAGAUUAGGUGACACACCUUAAUACAAACAAACCAUAUUUUUCAUCUUAUCAAGAUGUAUUUCUUCAUUUUGAAGUGUGUGUCUAAAGGGAAACAUAUUUUUUAUUAUUUAUAUAAUAUAUCAACUCUCAUAACUAUUUUUUGGUUUUGGAGAGACAGAAGUAUUUUUAUUUCAUGGCUUACUGACUCAAUUCAUGCCCACCUAGAGAAUUCAUAGGCAUUAUUUCUGUGACAAAUUUUAUAUUGUUAGUUAAUUAAUUACUUUGAUCAUUAUAAAAGGAUGGAGAGAUGUACAAUACUGUUUGAGGAAAUCACCUGGCUCAAAAAAGGGCUUUUAAAAGAAAUGUAACAGAACUACUAAAUGAGCUGGUGGAGAGUGUGAAGAAAUGGUUAAGAUCCUUAUUAAUAAGAUCCUAUAAGGUCAGAGAUCCAAUGAACUUCUAAUUUUCACCCUUUUCACAAGAACAUGACUUGAGUUCAUCAGUAUCAAGCAAUGGCUAAAAUCACGUACAACUUAGGCACAAAAGAGGGUAAUGGUCCCAGAAACAAAGUUAUUACUCAACCUCAUGUUAAAAAACUCACACAAAUCAACAAGAAGAAUAAUGAAAAAAGAGCCAACGGGAAGAAUAGCAAGCCAGACUGCUGAAAAUCAGACAAGAAAGAUGCCAAUUUGGAUACCCAAACUGCACAUCUGAAACAGUUUAGAGCAUUUCCACAUUCUAAGUGAAUGCUGUAAUCCAGGAUGCCUGUGCCACACAACCUUGCACAUCUGAAUAAGCAACAGCUUGCAAUAAAUUCAGAACAAGGUCAUUUCCAAGAAUAAGAUAUUUUCCCACAGAAACAAGCAGCCAUCUUCCAAGAGUUUUAGCAUCCCACAGUGCAUGGCUGAAGUUAGUAAGCAACUGCCAAAAUGGUCACAACAGGAAAAAGCAGCCUUUAAAGAAUGAUUUCCUUCUUAUAGUUAUCUGACCUAGAUUUGCCUAGAAAAGGCAUGUAAUGUUUUUCUCUGCUUUAAUAUUUCAUACUUUAUUAUUUAUAUUAAAGUCUAUAAUAGCAUGGGACAUGAGCAUACCAUCCAGUUAAUAUACACAUGCAAAAACAUGGUUUUGGUUUUACUAAUUAUUCCUGAAUAGCCUACGCAGCUAAGACUGAGUGGGUGCAUCUACACAUGCAAUUAGCAUAUAGCAAUAAACUCCGGGGCAGUUCGCACCAGAGUUGGCUGCUCCUGAGUGCAGCAUCUUCACGUGUACCCGGGACUGUAGCAUUUAAAGCCAGGGUGGAGCAGCCCUGAGCCAGCAGGGGAUCUGGGGGGGUCAACCCUGGGCUCCAGGUGGUGGUAGAAGGGCUGGCUAGGGCACAAGGGUCCUACAGUGCAGAGCUAGGAAUCAGGAAGCCUCCACACUGUAGAGCACUUUCAUGCCUCAGAUAGCCCCACUCAGUCUA